UCCUCCCUAUAUUUGAUGCAAUGAUUAACGGAACAAUAAAUAACUGGUGGUGGAAUAACUUACGAAAAACGUCGUGAGCUAAGUCCCCAUUAUAACCAUAUAAAAGGCUUGUC
rfam:Muricauda sp. TMED12 MHASMcontig_399230, whole genome shotgun sequence.